rnacentral:snoRNA from 1 species
UUUGUAAAGACAAUGAUGUAUUUUCCAAGCACGUAUCCGAGCCCUCUGUGCGGACAUCCACAACCACUGAGUCUUUACAGC